AGCAGCCGCGGUAAUUCCAGCUCCAAUAGCGUAUAUUAAAGUUGUUGCAGUUAAAAAGCUCGUAGUUGAAUUUCGGGGUUAGUAGGUUGGUCAUGCCUCUGGUAUGUACUGGUCUCACUGAUUCCUCCUUCCUUAUGAACCGUAAUGCCAUUAAUUUGGUGUUGCGGGGAAUUUGGACUGUUACUUUGAAAAAUUAGAGUGUUUAAAGCAAGCUAACGCUUGAAUACAUUAGCAUGGAAUAAUGAAAUAGGACGUUCGAUCUUAUUUUGUUGGUUUCUAGGAUUGACGUAAUGAUUAAUAGGGAUAGUUGGGGGCAUUAGUAUUCAAUUGUCAGAGGUGAAAUUCUUGGAUUUAUUGAAGACUAACUACUGCGAAAGCAUUUGCCAAGGAUGUUUUCAUUAAUCAAGAACGAAAGUUAGGGGAUCGAAGACGAUCAGAUACCGUCGUAGUCUUAACCAUAAACUAUGCCGACUAGGGAUCGGAUGAUGUUAAUUUUUAAUGACUCAUUCGGCNCCUUACG
rnacentral:rRNA from 1 species